rnacentral:rRNA from 1 species
AGCAGUCGCCACGGGAAUACGUAGGUGGCAAGCGUUGUCCGGAAUUAUUGGGCGUAAAGGGCUCGCAGGCGGUUUCUUAAGUCUGAUGUGAAAGCCUCCGGCUCAACCGGGGAGGGUCAUUGGAAACUGGGAAACUUGAGUGCAGAAGAGGAGAGUGGAAUUCCACGUGUAGCGGUGAAAUGCGUAGAGAUGUGGAGGAACACCAGUGGCGAAGGCGACUCUCUGGUCUGUAACUGACGCUGAGGAGCGAAAGCGUGGGGAGCGAACAGGAUUAGAUACCCCAGUAGUCCCUGUCUCUUAUAC